AGGGCCAAAGAAUUCAUCACCUAAUGGGCAGCCCCCUGGAAAUAAAGCUUGCCCUCACAUUCCUUCCAACCUCAUUUCACCUAGUCACUAUACUUCAAGACAUAAAUGAAAAUUUCCUGAAUCCAUUAGAAUCAGUAGACAAAGUGAAGACAGAAUUCACCAACCACUUCUUGAAACUCUGAAAGAAAUCCAAGAAAUGUCAUAGCCAAGAACAAAAGCUGCCAUGUCAAAAAAAAAA